rnacentral:lncRNA from 10 species
AUUCCUAGAGUGUGAAUGAUGUGAGCUUGCCUUGGGGUGAAGGCUGCUGGAGUCAGCUCUUUCCGAUCCUGGCUAGUUUUCUGCUCCUAAUAAAGGCUUCUUUCAUGGCUGGGCAAGAGGAAGACUCAGAUGGCCCUCCGUGGACAAGGGUUGGUUCCCGAAUCUGUCCCAGACAUGACAUCCUGUGAGGGGAAGAUUUGGAACAGAUGGGGGCCAGGGGAGCCUCACUGUAUUUGCUUGUUUCACCACCACCUCCUCCCUCCCACAACCAGAAAUGUCUUUUUCUUCCCGCCUAGGGAAGUUAAUGUAAAGGCAGGUAGGGGGGAUGUCCUGUAGAUUAGGAAAGUAAGUUAUCAGGGGUCAGGGAAAAAUAAUCCAUUAGGUUUCCAGAAAGAAUCCACUUUUCAUUGCAGUCUCCUUCUAGGUCCAAAGAUAGACAACUAACUCAAAAUUGUAUCUUCGCUUUAAUCACUGCUCUGGUGAUAUUUGCAUUAAUGAAAGAGAAAAGAAAGCAUCCCCAACAGAUGGAAAAGGCGGCUCUCUGACUAGUGAAAGAACAACUUCCAGUAAAAGAAGGCACUGAGGUUUAAGUGCUACGUGGGAGCAGUUGCCGAUUUUUGCAAUGGGAGGCUGCAUAGAUUCAAGGUGGAACCAUCUAGUUGCAGGAAAACAAGCUCAGGGCUCCUGUUGAUUCUAUAUUAUGGACUUCCUUGAGUGCUCCAGGAGCUUGUCAUUCCAGAGACAGAGCAGCCCAGAAGUCCUGGGAUUUACACCUCUAGUAGAAACCCUCAACCAGAGAAGGAUGGAAGUCAAUGGGCAGAGUGCUCGGGAGACCUUUACCUGUUUUACCUGAUUACAUCCUCUGAGUCACAACGAGAAAGGAAGCCGAGCAACAGCCAGACCUGAUCUUCUUUAAUUGUGCUCUGUGGACCAAAGGCAACAGAAUUACCUAGGCCCCACCCAGAAAAUGCAGAAUCCUGGGUCCCUUAUGAAGCCACCGAAUCAAAAUUGUGGGGAGCAACCAGGAACCUGAUUUUUAAACAAGUUCCCCUGUGAUUCUUAUGCACAUUAAAAUUUGAAAACCCCUGGACAAAGCCACAGUUCCUGGAGGAGCAGAGAUGAGUCAUGUCCAUGAGUAAUACCCCAUGUUGACACAGCCCUGGUGCAAGGUAGGCACGCCCCUCACACCUGUUCUCAUCACCAACAUUCCUUGGACAAGGUCAGGAGACGGUCUUGAGCAAUUUGGUAUAAAACAAAUCUCUGUAAGUCACAUUUUAAAUAUAAUAUUUAGAGGGAUUGCAUUGGCAAAUCAAAUUGUUUUCAUUAUUGUAAAUUGUACUGUGCUCAGAUACUUACCCAAUCUUGACUUCAAAUUUAGCUCAACAUGACCUCUGGCCUUAGGCUUGAGGAUUGUAAGGCCCCCUGGCCCAGCACGCUUGCUGUGCUUGGGGCUCUGUUGUUAGCACUCUGUUUAUUUUGUUCUUGGGCACCGUCCACUACCUGGUCAGAAAAACCUUAGCCCCACUGUUCCCCAGUGCCUGUGUUCAUGUCUUGCCCCAAAGACCCAAUCCCAGAGGCUAUGGGUCCUCAAGGUUGAGAUUCUACCUAUGGCCCAAGCUAAGGUCCUGCCAUCUCUUAGCAGAAUUUCCAAAUCCUGGCCUACUUUCUAGGGUCUUCCAAUAUCAUCUGGUGCUGAAUUCCUAUCACCAAGCUCCAUGUGCCUCUCAGGACACCUCUCAUAAUCCCCCCAAACCAUAUACAGCCUAUCAGUGAGGAGCACAGGCUCGCUGGACAGCCUAGGUAUGAAGCUUGGCUCUGCCACUUGGUGGCUGUGUGACCUUAGCCAAACACCCCACCCAACAAGCCUCAAUUCCUGCAUCUAUAACAGCCCCUACUAUUAUAUGCAGCGUUGUCAUGAGUAUUGAGUGAGGUGAUACACUUACAGCCAAGCACAGUGCUUGGGCACAGCAAGGGCUCAAUAAAUGUUGGGGACCGGUCCAAAAGCUGUUCCAUGUCUGAGUGCGCGUACAUGUGAACAAAGCUCCAUGCCAAAGCAAAUGUGUCUCCAAGCUACCCUAGCAGUGGCACCAGGGGUCACUUAUAGAGUGUCACUUUGGGCUUUGGAACAAAUGGACUUGUAAGCAGCCUUUUCUCCUCUAUUUUUUUUUUUUUUUUUGAGACAGAGUUUCACUUUUGUCACCCAGGCUGGAGCGCAAUGGCGCGAUCUCGGCUCGCUGCAAACUCUGCCUCCCAGGUUCAAGUGAUUCUCCUGCCUCAGCCUCCCAAGUAGAUGGGAUUACUGGUGUGUGCCAUUAUGCCAGGUAAUUUUGUAUUUUUAGUAGACAUGGGGUUUCACCGUGUUGGCCAGGCUGGUCUUGAACUCCUGACCUCAGGUGAUCCACCCGCCUUGGCCUCCCAAAGUGCUGGGAUUACAGGCAUGAGCCAUCGCACCUGGCCAAAGCAGCCUUUUUAGAAUUCACCUUUGAAUAAUAAUAAUAAUAAUAGCAAAUACAUGGUACUCACUAUGAGCUAGACCCUGUGCUGAUAAGGGCAUUACUCAUUUGAUUCCUUCCAUAACAAGGCUGGUACUUUAUUACCCCCACUUUACAG